rnacentral:lncRNA from 1 species
GUCACAGGAGGGAGAGAGCAUUGUUAGAUCCAUGGACAUGCAAGGAGAGGGAUGCUCCUGCAGAAGCAUGGUCCCCAACUAUAAAGGCAGCAUUGAAUCACAGAAUCAUUGAAAAGGUUGGAAAGCCAAUAAGAACAUCUAGUCCAACAAUCAACCCAUGCCUGUGACUGCUCAAGACCAUGUCAUCCAUGGAUACAAAAGGGUUUUCCUUUCGGACAAUAUGAAACAAAGUGCUUGGUGGGAUCAGACCAAGCAGCAGAGCCUUGCUUUGGAGCAGCUGCUCGUGCCACGUUGUUUUGUUUGCUGAUGUCCUUGGGCUCUGCAACCUGACAGAAUGCUGCAUUCCUGGUGCUCCUGCUUUGCAUUGGGAUCAAACUGAAAGCUGGUGAGAUGCAAGCUGGUUACAAACAUGCUCAUUAACAGAGAUUUAUUGCUUCUACAUAUACCAUCACAACUGGACACAAGUGUCCCUGCUCUAAGAACGCAGUUAUUUAUAUUUAAUCUAACAAGCAUUAAAUAUUGAUAUAUCACUGUGUAUUUAACAAGCUACUCAGACAAUCAUAUGCAAAGUCUCUCAAAGGCACAACCUUGUCUCUUGUGUUGUGCCCUCCAGUUGUAUGGUAGAACUGGCCGUGGUCCUCAUGCCCUGAAAUGGGUGGCCCUGGUGGAACAGAGGGCCCCAGAGGUUCUUCCAACCCCAGCCAGCCUGGAUUCUGUGAUACAGCUCCUACAACUCCAUUUGGAACUGCAUGGUCCCUUCCAGCACAAGUCAUUCUAUGUUUCUAUGACUAUGAACUCAGAUUAGGAGACUGUGCAAUUCCUAAAAGGUGAGGGGCUGGCACUGCAGGUGAGGAUAUGAGUGUUUCUGUACUUUCUAGGUAUCUGGUGCCAAGAGGAAGGAGAGCUUUGGAUUUUUGACCCUGAGCAUGGAGCUCUCACUGUUGGGCUGUGAGCUCUUCACAGCAUGAAGAAAGCACGAUUCACUGCUGUAACGGAGUUCUUCAGAAAAAAAAACGUGUUGUAUCCUGGGUAUUGCCUUGAAUUCUGCAGGUCAUGUCAAGGCUUCUGUAAAGUAUGUCUCAAAGCUUUAAAGAGCUCUUUUGCAACUGUCAAAGUGCUGAGAUCUGCAAGGAAUAGGGUCCCCUGAUAGAGUACAGCCAUGAAAUGAAAACAGAAGAGAAGGAAGAUAAAAGGAGCUGCAAUGCAGAACGGGGGUUACUCCAGCAAUAAGAUAAACUUCCACAACAGUGAGCAUCUCUGCUGUGACAGAGGGAACCUUCCCAGAGAGCUGGUAGGAAGGUCAGUAUCUGUGUCUUCCAAAAGCUGGGUGUUCAUCCUAUGUGUGCUUCACAGCUGGAGCCUGUAACCAAACCCCAAGCAAUACCCCGAGGCACUGCACCUCGGGGACAGUGCGGUUGCUUGCUUUCAUUUGGGUUUUGGGGACAAUUUUUGAUUCCUUGAAACUUCUGGCUAUCCAACUCCAGGCCCACCUGGCUUCUUCCUACGUAAAGAAAUGCAAAAGCACGUUGUGUUGAUGCAACCUGCAGGAUGAACUGAAAGAUGCUGUCUGCAGAGGAUCUUAUACCUAUCAGACCUCGGCUCCGCUCCUUGCGGCCUCUGCUGCCAUCUGCCGCCACGCUGAGACCCAGCACGGGGAGCACUUCCAUCGGCAGCCCAUUCCAAUGCCUGACCGCCCUCUCAAUGGAGAAAUUCUUCUCGACAGCCAAACUAAACCUCCCCUGGUGCAACUUGAGGCCGUAGCCUCGUAUCCUCAAGCAAGUCUGUAUCCGUCUUGCAUCGAGGGCUCCUCCUGUAUCUGAGGUACUGCCUCACCAGUGGCUCAGCAGUGUUUUCCUGUUUAAAACCUGAGGGAUGGCACUUAGGUAAAAGCUAACGUCAUCUCCCUGUUCACUGAGAGAAAGGUGGUUUUGAGAGCAGAGCGCAGCACACCUGCUUUCUGGGGACCUCCCAUAUGUAACUCCACAGCUGUGCUGCACGGGACAUCUCAGGACACAACUCUAUGCAAGCACCUGCUUUCAACUUGUAUCUCCCUAAUGCUGGGAUUUUGGAAUGGAAUUUGUCAGGGCUGGGAAAGAGAGGAGGACAGAAAGAAAAAAUGACACAUGCACCUGCACAGUAUGCUUGAUCUCUCUGGCAGUAAAGCCACACCCCAAUUUCCCUUUCCUUCUUUGUGAUUUCACCUUUUUCCUCUCCUCUCC